UACGGAAGGCAGCAGUGGGGAAUAUUGCACAAUGGGCGCAAGCCUGAUGCAGCCAUGCCGCGUGUAUGAAGAAGGCCUUCGGGUUGUAAAGUACUUUCAGCGGGGAGGAAGGCGGUGAAGUUAAUAGCUUCACCGAUUGACGUUACCCGCAGAAGAAGCACCGGCUAACUCCGUGCCAGCAGCCGCGGUAAUACGGAGGGUGCAAGCGUUAAUCGGAAUUACUGGGCGUAAAGCGCACGCAGGCGGUCUGUCAAGUCGGAUGUGAAAUCCCCGGGCUUAACCUGGGAACUGCAUUCGAAACUGGCAGGCUAGAGUCUUGUAGAGGGGGUAGAAUUCCAGGUGUAGCGGUGAAAUGCGUAGAGAUCUGGAGGAAUCCGGUGGCGAAGGCGGCCCCUGGGACAAAGACUGACGCUCAGGUGCGAAAGCGUGGGGAGCAAACGAGGAUUAGGAU
rnacentral:rRNA from 1 species